rnacentral:misc_RNA from 1 species
GACAACUCACUCAUUUUAGUCCUUUCUCUUGCAAGCAACCAAAUUACCGGUGCAAUCCCAACAUCUAUUGGGAGAAUGCAGGAAGUGCAAGUCAUUGAUCUCUCAAGGAACAAUUUAACAGGACGAAUUCCUAAGAGCAUAGGGAAUUGCAGUUUCUUGCAGGUCCUAGACCUUCAGAACAACUAUUUAACGGGGAGAAUUCCAAGUUCUUUGGGUCAGCUAACUGUUCUUCAUACAAUACAUCUAAGAAACAACAAGAUCACAGGAAAACUACCUUCAUCUUUCAAAAAUUUGUCAAGGUUGACAACUCUGGACCUUGGUUGCAACAGGUUGACUGGUAUAAUUCCACAAUGGAUUGGAGAAGCUUUUCCGGUUCUUAAAAUUCUUGACUUGAGGUCAAACGUGUUUUCAGGAGAACUUCCUUCUGCACUUUUGAAACUGAGUUCACUGAAUGUCUUGGACCUAGCAGAAAAUCAGUUGAGAGGAACCAUUCCCACUAACCUUGGUAGUCUUAAAUCCAUGACACAAGGAAAAAGCA